CANUGAUUAGCUCAGCUGGGAGAGCACCUCCCUUACAAGGAGGGGGUCGGCGGUUCGAUCCCGUCAUCACCCACCA
rnacentral:tRNA from 1 species